rfam:Triticum aestivum genome assembly, contig: Triticum_aestivum_CS42_TGACv1_scaffold_642330_T_3DL-0.253439_1DS-0.154197
CUUGUAAUCCCUCCGUCCGAAAAUACUCGUCCUAAAAAUAGAUAAAAUGGAUGUAUCUAUAACUAAAAUAAGUCUAGAUACAACCAUUUCUAGGACAAGUAUUUUCGGACGGAGGGAGUAUGAG